CUUCUUGUUCUUUGCAUUUCCCAUUUCUAGCUGUUCUUUUUUCUUUGUCACCAGACAUAACCAUGGUGCUCUCAAAAAUUGCUUCAGAGUCUGAUGUCUCCGUUCACUCCACCUUCGCCUCUCGCUAUGUCCGGGAAUCACUUCCAAGGUACAAGAUGCCGGAGAACUCGAUACCUAAGGAGGCUGCAUUCCAGAUCAUAAACGAUGAGCUGAUGCUGGAUGGAAAGCCGAGGCUGAACUUGGCUUCCUUUGUGACUACUUGGAUGGAGCCUGAAUGUGAUAAGCUUAUGAUGGACGCCAUGAACAAGAACUAUGUUGACAUGGAUGAGUACCCUGUCACCACUGAGCUUCAGAAUCGGUGUGUGAACAUGAUAGCACAUCUGUUCAAUGCUCCCCUGGGAGACUCUGAGGCCGCGAUCGGCGUUGGAACGGUGGGAUCUUCAGAGGCUAUAAUGCUUGCAGGACUUGCUUUCAAGAGAAAGUGGCAGAACAAGCGCAAGGCUGAAGGAAAACCUUAUGACAAGCCCAACAUUGUCACUGGUGCCAAUGUUCAGGUAUGCUGGGAGAAAUUUGCUAGGUACUUUGAGGUUGAACUCAAGGAGGUGAAGCUGAGGGAAGGUUACUAUGUUAUGGACCCUGAAAAGGCUGUGGAAAUGGUGGAUGAAAACACUAUCUGUGUGGCUGCUAUCUUGGGUUCUACACUCAAUGGUGAAUUCGAAGAUGUUAAGCUUCUGAAUGAUCUAUUGGUAGAGAAGAACAAAGUCACUGGGUGGGAUACUCCCAUUCACGUGGAUGCCGCUAGUGGUGGAUUUAUUGCGCCAUUCUUGUGGCCAGAGCUUGAAUGGGACUUCAGGCUUCCAUUGGUGAAGAGCAUUAACGUUAGUGGUCACAAAUACGGGCUUGUCUAUGCUGGAGUUGGGUGGGUCAUUUGGAGGAGCAAAGAAGACUUGCCUGAAGAGCUCAUCUUCCACAUUAACUACCUUGGAACAGAUCAACCCACUUUCACUCUCAAUUUCUCCAAGGGUUCUAGCCAAAUCAUUGCUCAGUAUUAUCAACUGAUCCGCCUAGGCCACGAGGGGUACCGAAAUGUGAUGGAGAAUUGCCACCAAAACGCUAUAGUCCUGAAACAGGGACUAGAGCAAACAGGACGCUUCAACAUUGUGUCAAAGGACAUUGGAGUUCCUCUGGUGGCAUUUUCACUCAAGGACAAUAGCCGACACACUGAAUUUGAGAUAGCUGAUAUGCUACGGCGUUUCGGGUGGAUUGUUCCUGCCUACACCAUGCCGGCAGAUGCUCAGCAUGUGACGGUCCUCCGUGUGGUGAUAAGAGAAGAUUUCUCUCGCGCACUGGCCGAGCGCCUCGUGCUUGACAUCACAAAGGUGCUUCAUGAGCUGGAUUCGCUGCCUGCGAAAAUCAAUGCUAAAAUUUCCAUCGUUGAUGAACAGAAGAAUGGUACGGUGAUCAAGAAAACUGCCAUUGAGACCCAGAGGGAAAUCACCACCUACUGGAAAAAUUUUGUCAUGGCCAAGAAGAAUAACAAGAACACCAUUUGUUAAGAGCUUACAGGCUUCCAGUUCCAGGGAUGAUCAUCCGGAGUUAUAACACCAACAACCCCCCCUCCCCCCCUUAUUAUUUUUGAAUUUUCAGAAUUUUUAAUUUAAUUGGUCUAAAUUCUAAAUGUGGUCCUGUUCCUGAUCUUGUUAAGUUAAACACAACCCUAUAAAACAGUGUUUUUUUUUUAAUUAUUAUCUCUUUUUGAUGGAAAGAAAGGGUGUUAUUUGAUUUUUAAUUUAAUUGGCUCUUAUUGAAUUACUGUUAUUAAUAUUU
rnacentral:misc_RNA from 1 species